GGUUAGAUGUUCAUCUGUCAAAUAUUAAUUAACCUCAAUGGAAUAAUAAACUAAAUAUAAAUUAAAUUAUUUCAAAUAUUAAGAUUUGCAGGUGAGAUUUCAAUAUUUUGGAACGAUCUCCAUUAAAUAUGUUUAAUUUUCGAAUAGAACAAGAUUAUAUUAAGGUUAGGUUCAUUUUUGGAAUUAGGGAUUGUUAUUGGGCUAUAACAAUAACUCUGUUCUAUUUAUGACUUAUAACUAUAAUUUUAAUUCUUGUAUCAUUCAUCAUUUACACUAAAUUCGUAGUAGUACAUGUAAAUCAUAUUUUUCAUAUCUAUGUAAACAUAAUUUGAUUAUAUUUUCAUGAUAUUGUAACGGGAAGAAAAAGCAAUGCUGAAAAUCAGACUAAAAAGAUAUUUUUUAUAUGCACUCAAAACGUGUCUACAAAUUUGUCAUUAUUAUUUGAUAGAAUGUAUAAUAAAAAACGUUGAUGGGGGCAGUUGCAAGUUGAACAUUAAAUUUACCAGGUUAAAGUUUAUUCUGGAACAGCACAUAUAAAGGACCUAGAGCAACUGUUUCAGGCAAAUUAAAGUUAUUGAUCAAGUUAUGGAAGACACUUCAAUGUUACCAUCGAUUAACAUGAAGUCUGAGAAGUCUCGGCUGGAUCCAUCUUGAAUCACAAUCCAUUUGAAAACAAAUAUGAAACUUGAGCUGAGUAGUUUUACAUAAAUGAAAGAGAUAAAGCAAUGUGGAUGUUGUUUGUGCAAUUUAUGGGAGUUACACCUUUGUGCAUUGCUUACUUGUGAUGGACUGUCAGGGAUUUUACUUGCAUGAAAUCAACAUAUAUUUGUUAAAGUGCAGCCUUGAUUGGAUCCAAUAAAGCAGCACCUCUGGGAUGUUGUAAACAUAUUAGUUUGGUAUCUUUAUCCUUUUCCAACGAGCCUCCUGAAGAUGGAGGUUGUUAUUUUCUUUUCAAGGAGAAAACAGCACUUAAACAACCAUACAAAACUCAAUAAUCCUUUUAAAACAAAUACAAAUCACAUUACUGAAGUUGAUUUUUUUUUGGAAUAAGAUAUUUUUUUUCUUUCAUAAUUUUAUUUAAUGGUUAAAUCUCGUAUAAUUCUGAAAGUUUAAUUUAAAAUAAAUGUUUUGUGUGUGAUUACCUUUGAUCAUAUCACACGAAUGGAUAAUUUUAAAGUACAGAAAAAGAUAUCGAGAGACGGGUAAAGAGAAAAAAGAAAGAACAAUGAAGAAAUGGGGAUAGAAAAGGUGAAGAAAGGUAUAAGAAAGUUUGGGAGGAAGAGGCAUAUGAUAGAAUCAAAUGGAGAAAAGCGGCCUGUUUUAUAUUAUAUAGAGUGUCCCACAUAAGAACCGACUCAUAGCAGAGGCGUAUAGGGGUUGUCAAAAAAAGACGAUUGGGGAUCAUUCAUCUCUGUGUCUCCCCUAUGACUAUUCGAAAUAUAGGUUUUUAUUGCAACUUAGAAAAGGAACUUACAUUGUGGAUGUACCUCGUAUUAAGGAAAUACUAAAAUCAGUUAUUAAAACUUUUUAUUCAAAUUUUUCUAAAAUUUUCAAUCCUAAUUAUUGCAUCAAAUUUUUGUUUGAAAUGAUUUUUUUUGUUAUUUAUUGAGUGAUCAGAACUUUGAUCAGUUGUUGUUGGUUUUUGUACUUUUGGGAAUUCUAGGAAUAUUUUAUUGAGAUUAAUAUAGUUAUAGAUAUUAAUUAAUGAAGAAAAAUAGAUUGAAUUUAUUUUUGAAUAACUUUUCUAACAUUCAGAAAGUUUUAACAAACAUCCAAUUAAACUUACAAGACAAUGUUUUCGAAAUCUUUAGGGAUCUUUUGAAAUAUAAAGUUAAAUUUGAAUAUUUUAUUUGUUGUUGUUAAUCUCGAUAGAAUUGAUUAUGUUCUGAUUAGAAUUUUGUGUAAAAAUUAGGGAAAUGGAAUGAAAUAUGAAAUCGAAAUAUUACAGGAAACAGUGUUAAAAAAAUUAUGUCUUUCCUUUGUGGACAAAGAUAUGUGAGUACAAAUCAUUUUAUGUAUCAGAUUAACUCCCUAACUCUAAAUCAUAAACUUCAAUAAUAUUUAUAUAGUUAGUCAAAUUACUUAUAAUUUUACCAUCUUUAAACAUUAUUAUUGAAGUAAUGAACGCUCUGUAUAAUUAGUAUCCAAGCAAGAUUUAUACUCAAAGAUCGUACAAUUAAACCUCAUUUUGAAAAUUUUCUCAAUUGUUCCAAGCAAUUACUCAAGGAUUUUUAUAAUCUGAUUAGUAAUUUUAGCCAAUAGGUAUGUUCAGAAAAACAAUGGUUAUUCUAUAAGAAAUUGUUAUGGUGUUUGUAGAGUGUUUAUAAUUCAAUGUUUUUAAUGGUUUACAAUGGAUUCUGGUGUGCUAUUUUAGAAAUCUUUCCUUUAUAUUAUAUUCUGUUAUUGACCAUUAUUAGACCCUUUUUUUGUAGAACGUAUCCUUGAGUUGAUAUUCAUAUUUGAAAAACAUCACGUCGGGUGCAGUUUAGGAACCCUUUUUAUCUGUUUGUAGAAUAGUUUGUUUACAUUAUAUCGAAGGUUUAAUACCGAUAACGAAAAAUUACCGUGCAGCCCCUUCUUGGAUGCCUUUGUCUUUGUUCCAAGAAUUGUUUGUUUCGAAUAUUUUUUUUUAUAUUUGAUAUUUGAUAUUUAUGAGAUUACAUUCAACAGAAUUCUUAGAGAGAUAAGGACCACCCUACAUUACGAGAAACUUUAAAAUCACAGUAUUCUACAUAAAUAAUUGAUAGUAAUAUCAAAAUAACUAUACUUGUUGAGGAUUUAUUACCGAUAACGAAAAUUGACCUGCAGCCCCUUUUUAGAUGCCUUCAUCUUUGUUGGAAGAAUUUCUUAUUUACUUUACAUUUCGAAUUUAUUUUUGAUAUUCAUGAGAAAAAUAAUGUUUAAUAGAAUAUUUUCUGAUAUCGUUUAUCUAAUUUGGGGAUGAGGACAACCCUAUAUAAUGGGAAGUUUUAAAAUCACAAAUUCUCGAUAUCAAGUUAACAAAAAUGAUUUGAUUUGGUCUUUAUACAUAUGCAGCUAAUUUUUUGAAACUUGAAAUAAAUUUCAGUAACAUUGUUUCAAAUUCUGCGAUCCUUAAUUAAUAUAAAAAUUUUCAUGUACCUGUAAUCACUAAUGAAAGUACUAAUUCGAAAAACGAAGGUAUGUCGUAAAACAUUAAAAGUAUACAGAUUCCCAAAAGGAAAUUACUAUUAUUUGCUUCCCAUAACCUCUACUUAUAUAGCCAUUUAAUAAACAGUUAUUGUGAAUUGUAAUAAUUAAAUCUAUGCCAUGUUUUAUUGUAUUUAUUAUAUCUAUUAUCACUAAUUAUUUAAAACUUCCAUAGAAAUAUUAUUAAAAAUAUAUCUUGCUU